UAACGGAAGCCGGGUCUCCUCAGGACCCCCUGAGGCUUCAGCUUUGGGACACUGUGGGGUCCAGUUCAUGCUGAGAGGAGCCUGGUCUCCUCAGGACCUGCCGGGAGGUGACACCACUGAGGGAAAAGUUUCUACUGCACCCCAGGUAAUCCACAGGACCCAAGAGAUGGUAGCUACUAAUAUACUCUUCCCACGGUGCCUCUUAAUACCAUGUGGACUCCUACAAGGGAAAUAAGUAUCACAACUUUGGUUGAACUUGGUCUGGUUUUCUUUUUCUGAAACCAUUACUGAGUUUCCCCCUCAUUUGGACAGCCUUGAUGGAUUUGAAGCAGACAAGAUGAGCAUGGGAUCUAGGUUGCCUUUUCUGUAUGGCUUUUUUUCACUAAGAAUGUUUUUAAUGUUCAUUUUUGUA